AAUCUAUUAAUAAGUCAUCUGUAUUGACUUUAGAUCUAUGUGUAGAUAGCGAAACGAUCACAGUAUUGUACGCGUGAGUAGUUAAUAAUAUGCACCGAGAUUAAGUGUGCAAGCCGUAGAGGCAUUGCAAAUGACACUGAUUGGUUACAGAUCCUCGCGAUCUCUGCCGCAGCGGGAGGGAGGGGGAGGCAUUGUGAUAGUCGAAAAUGGUCGGAGGACCAGAAGGGAUGGGAAGAUUGCCGAAGGACGCUCCUUUCAGUCGAGAAACAAACGGUAGUGGGGAACUUGGAUACACGUGUGACUUCCUUCCCCUUCUUUCUUUGACCUGCUCUAUCUGUUUCUCUCCUUAUAAUCGCAGCACAUCGAUAUUUCUCUCUCACUUUCAAACAUGUCUCUUUAUACGCACUAUUAAAUCAUUACCGCGACCCUUGUUUCCCACCUUCCUGGAAGAUACCGGGAGGCGUUUAAGUGGUUUUAAUAUUCUGUACCUACUACAACAAAAUUGAAGAAUUUUGAGUAAUAUCGUUAAUAAUUCCAGAUCUACUAUAUUUAAAUCAUGUAUGUACAUCGCACAAAAUGUUCUUUCUUUACAUAUGUGUCACUUAUAAUGUAUUAAAUAUGAAUGCAUUUAACAUGUAACAUUUAAAAAUAUUAUUUCUAAUAUGACACGGAGCACCAUAAAAUGAAAGUGAAAGCAUAAAAAGACAUAUUAGACGGUCGAAUCAGGUGUGGCUGAAAAAUUGUCGUCAUCUGUAAAAUGAAAGAAAAAGAAAGAUGGAUAAAAUGGAAGAGAGGUGAAGAAGAGCAAGAGAGAACUGUUAUUUUAAUUUCUACUAUUCUUUUCAUGACGUACGAGAUUUUUCUCAUGACCUAUUGGUAGCGUCAGUCACGGAAAAAUAUGCCGUGACGCCGUUUGACUACAUUAGACACGCGCCAAAUACUUCAAAACGAACACGUGCGGUUUUAAAUUCUAUUACAGCUGGACUACCUGGUACGGUUAGCUGAAUAUUAACGGUCAUCAUUUUCGAAAUAACCGGAAAACGUACCGACAGCUGAUUUCUCAAUGUGGAAGGAAUGACAUCGCUUCGAUGAUAUGCGGUUCCACAAACCGAUGCUUUUCAUAUGUCGUUAAAAUUACCGAGGAUCUCUUUGAUAAGAUCGACAUGGCGUUCGUAAUCGACGUGUCGUUAGAGAAACUUUAAUUCUUCGGUUAUUCUGACAUUUAGCAUUCAAUUUGGAAAACUUUCUACAAGAUUUGUGAGAAAUUGUGGGAUCAAAAGGAAUAAUUAUUGCAAAGAUAUUGGAACCAUACAAGUUCUUGUCCAGAAUAUUAUUGUAUCUAUUCAGUAUUAAGUUAUAGCUUCAAUAUUAAUUAUAUUCUUUUCCUCCCUCCCUCUAUGUUUGAGAGUUUUUAUUUCUAUAUUAUUUUAAAUAUUUCCAAAGAUAUUAGACAAAUAUAUAGAUGAAUAUCUUUGAGAAAUUUGAUUGUAUUUUCUACAUAACUUUUGGGUGUUGGUGCCCUGUCUGGAAAAACAUAAUUUUAUGAAAUAUUAUUGAACGCGCAUAACACAGACAUACACUAUGUGCACACUUGCAGACAUUGAAUUUACAAACUAAACAUACAUAUACACUCUCUAUACUACACGAAGUACAGGUCCGACUAUGCAGUUCUUUGUGAUGUACCUUGAGUUAUUCCAAUACUGGCGGCUCACUCUUCAUUUCAAGUGCGAUAAAAUGACAAAGAAAAUCGUACAUCAAGUUCUUUGAGGCCAUUGUAAAAGGUAGACUUUGCUUUGUGGAGGAUUCUUAAAUGAACUUCGAAAAAAAUUUUUUAAAUUCCAUGCAAUCGUUUGCAUAUGUAAAAUUUUCGAAAUCAAUAAUAGUCUGAGAAAACGAAGACAGCGUCACGAAAGAGUAAACUUGAAGCUUUAGUUGUUUAAAAUGAAUCAGGCCAUGUCAUGUGAUUUUUGUUUUACAAAGUUACAUCGAUUUGGAUAUCGAUAAUUUUUCGUCGAGAAUUUAAUGACCCCUUAAUUUUGUACGCCAGUAUAAUAAGAGUAUUUACCAUUAGAAUAUAAUAACUUACAUGAACAAAUAUA